rnacentral:rRNA from 1 species
GCAGCCAUCAUUUAAAGAAAGCGUAAUAGCUCACUGAUCGAGUCGUCCUGCGCGGAAGAUGUACCGGGGCUAAGCCAAUAACCGAAGCUGCGGAUGUGCCGCGAGGCACGUGGUAGGAGAGCGUUCUGUAAGCCUGUGAAGGUGUCUUGUGAAGGAUGCUGGAGGUAUCAGAAGUGCGAAUGCUGACAUAAGUAACGAUAAAAGAAGUGAAAAACUUCUUCGCCGAAAAUCCAAGGGUUUCUGCGCAAGGUUAAUCCGCGCAGAGUUAGUCGGCACCUAAGGCGAGGGCGAAAGCCGUAGUCGAUGGAAAUAAGGUUAAUAUUCCUUAACCAGAUGGUAGUGACGGAUCUUGUAAGUUGUGAGUUCUUAAUGGAUUGAACUUGCAGUGAAUUUGUCCCUGGAAAUAGCUCCAGCAUUAGACCGUACCAAAACCGACACAGGUAGGAAGGUAGAGCAUACCAAGGCGCUUGAGAGAACGAUGUUGAAGGAACUCGGCAAAAUGCUUCCGUAACUUCGGGAUAAGGAAGACCUGUUUUUAGGCAACUAGAGAUGGGUGGCACAAGCCAGGGAGAAGCGACUGUUUAUCAAAAACACAGGACUCUGCUAACUCGCAAGAGGAUGUAUAGAGUCUGACGCCUGCCCGGUGCUGGUA